rnacentral:rRNA from 1 species
GUAGGGUGCGAGCGUUAAUCGGAAUUACUGGGCGUAAAGCGUGCGCAGGCGGUUUUGUAAGUCAGAUGUGAAAUCCCCGGGCUUAACCUGGGAACUGCGUUUGAAACUACAAGGCUAGAGUGUGGCAGAGGGGGGUGGAAUUCCACGUGUAGCAGUGAAAUGCGUAGAGAUGUGGAGGAACACCGAUGGCGAAGGCAGCCCCCUGGGUUAACACUGACGCUCAGGCACGAAAGCGUGGGGAGCAAACAGGAUUAGAUACCCUGGUAGUCCACGCCCUAAACGAUGUCAACUAGUUGUCGGGUCUUAACGGGCUUGGUAACGCAGCUAACGCGUGAAGUUGACCGCCUGGGGAGUACGGUCGCAA